UACGUAGGGCGCAAGCGUUGUCCGGAAUUACUGGGCGUAAAGGGCGCGUAGGCGGUCUGUUAAGCCAGAUGUGAAAGCCCCGGGCUUAACCUGGGAACAGCAUUUGGAACUGGCAGACUUGAGUGCAGGAGAGGAAGGUAGAAUUCCAGGUGUAGCGGUGAAAUGCGUAGAGAUCUGGAGGAAUACCAGUGGCGAAGGCGGCCUUCUGGACUGACACUGACGCUGAGGCGCGAAAGCAUGGGGAGCAAACAGG
rnacentral:rRNA from 1 species